rnacentral:tRNA from 1 species
GGAGAAAUGGCAGAGCGGUCGAAUGCGGCGGUCUUGAAAACCGUUGUCCGUUCACGCGGACCGGGGGUUCGAAUCCCUCUUUCUCCGCAA